rnacentral:rRNA from 1 species
UACGUAGGUGGCAAGCGUUAUCCGGAUUUAUUGGGUUUAAAGGGUGCGUAGGCGGUCGGAUAAGUUAGAGGUGAAAUCCCGAGGCUCAACUUCGGAAUUGCCUCUGAUACUGUUCGGCUAGAGAGUAGUUGCGGUACGCGGAAUGCGCGGUGUAGCGGUGAAAUGCAUAGAUAUCGCGCAGAACUCCGAUUGCGAAGGCAGCGUACCGGCGCCAGACUGACGCUGAGGCACGAAAGCGUGGGGAUCGAACAGG